AUUGAACGCUGGCGGCAGGCCUAACACAUGCAAGUCGAGCGGAUGAAGGGAGCUUGCUCCUGGAUUCAGCGGCGGACGGGUGAGCAAUGCCUAGGAUUCUGCCUGGUAGUGGGGGAUAACGUCCGGAAACGGGCGCUAAUACCGCAUACGUCCUGAGGGAGAAAGUGGGGGAUCUUCGGACCUCACGCUAUCAGAUGAGCCUAGGUCGGAUUAGCUAGUUGGUGGGGUAAAGGCCUACCAAGGCGACGAUCCGUAACUGGUCUGAGAGGAUGAUCAGUCACACUGGAACUGAGACACGGUCCAGACUCCUACGGGAGGCAGCAGUGGGGAAUAUUGGACAAUGGGCGAAAGCCUGAUCCAGCCAUGCCGCGUGUGUGAAGAAGGUCUUCGGAUUGUAAAGCACUUUAAGUUGGGAGGAAGGGCAGUAAGUUAAUACCUUGCUGUUUUGACGUUACCAACAGAAUAAGCACCGGCUAACUUCGUG
rnacentral:rRNA from 1 species